AGUGAAACGGUGGAAAAGGGGGUGUGAUAUAAUAAAAUAUUAGGAGAUGGGACACAAUAAGCGGGUAGCUUCUCGUGGGUCUUCCAGCUCGCGCCACCAUUUCAUCUCUCCUCUCCUUUCUGUCUCUUGUUCUCGAGAGGAAAAAAAAAACCUAGAUCGCUGCUUCGUCUAUCUCGCUCUUAUCUGUAAAAAGUUGAGGAAAAAUAUCAGCUAUAUUUCAAGAUCGCUGCUACUCCCUCUCCCUCUUGCACCUCAUCUUAAGAUUUGGGGAAAAAAACCCUAGGUCUCCAUAUCUUCCUAAAGAUCUCUCUUUUCCAGCGAAUCAACAUUCAGAUUUGUGUUUUUUCCGACCCUGUUGGUUCCUACAGUUGAAAUCAAAAUGGAUAAUGUUGAGGAGGAGAUGAUGAUGAGGAUUGUAUCUGGGGAUGCUAUGACGGUGUUACUGAUGAUGGUUACAUUUCUAAAGAGAUUACAAUCUAGACGAAGGCGUAUCACUCAUGUACCUUGAUAAGAAAAGAUAGCGAAUGUAAGGUACCGAUUUGCACAAUUGUCUAGGAUAUUCAAAGGUUAUUCUACUAGUUGUAAAGACUAUUUAAGAAUGUGUAAAGUUACAUUUGACAAUCUUGUAACUUUGACGAGGACAAAGGGCCUACUUAAAGACUCUAGGCACAUUACGGUUGAAGAACAACUUGUAAUAUUCUUGAACAUCUUGGGUCAUAAAACCAAAAAUAGGUUACUAAGAUCUAACUUCA